rnacentral:rRNA from 1 species
AACGAACGCUGGCGGCAUGCCUAACACAUGCAAGUCGAACGAGACCUUCGGGUCUAGUGGCGCACCGGUGCGUAACGCGUGGGAACCUGCCCUUAGGUUCGGAAUAACUCCCCUAAAGGGGUGCUAAUACCGGAUAAUGUCAUCGGACCAAAGAUUUAUCGCCUUGGGAUGGGCCCGCGUUGGAUUAGCUAGUUGGUAGGGUAAAAGCCUACCAAGGCGACGAUCCAUAGCUGGUCUGAGAGGAUGAUCAGGCACGGUGGGACUGAGACACGGCCCAGACUCCUACGGGAGGCAGCAGUGGGGAAUAUUGGACAAUGGGCGAAAGCCUGAUCCAGCAAUGCCGCGUGAGUGAUGCAGGCCUUAGGGUUGUAAAGCUCUUUUACCCGGGAUGAUAAUGACAGUACCGGGAGAAUAAGCUCCGGCUAACUACGUG